CAGCUACUAUUUCUAUCAU
rnacentral:snRNA from 1 species